rnacentral:rRNA from 1 species
CACGUAGGGUGCGAGCGUUGUCCGGAUUUACUGGGCGUAAAGAGCGCGCAGGCGGUCGGAUCAGUCGAAUGUGAAAGCCCCCGGCUCAACUGGGGAGGGUCAUUCGAUACUGUCCGACUCGAAGGCAGGAGAGGGAAGCGGAAUUCCCGGUGUAGUGGUGAAAUGCGUAGAUAUCGGGAGGAACACCAGUGGCGAAGGCGGCUUUCUGGCCUGUUCUUGACGCUGAGGCGCGAAAGCUAGGGGAGCGAACGGGG